rnacentral:rRNA from 1 species
UACAGAGGGUGCGAGCGUUGUUCGGAAUUAUUGGGCGUAAAGGGCGCGUAGGCGGUGCCACAAGUCACUUGUGAAAUCCCCGGGCUUAACCCGGGGCCUGCAGGCGAAACUGUGGUGCUGGAGUAUGGGAGAGGUGCGUGGAAUUCCUGGUGUGGCGGUGAAAUGCGUAGAUAUCAGGAGGAACACCUGUGGCGAAAGCGGCGCACUGGACCACAACUGACGCUGAGGCGCGAAAGCUAGGGGAGCAAACAGG